CAAUAGCGUAUAUUUAAGUUGUUGCAGUUAAAAAGCUCGUAGUUGGAUUUCGGUUAAGAGCGACCGGUCCGCCGUUUGGUGUGCACUGGUUGGUUUUAACUUCCUGUAGAGGACGUGCUCUGGGUUUAACGACCUGGACUCGGAGUCUACGUGGUUACUUUGAAAAAAUUAGAGUGUUCAAAGCGGGCUUACGCUUGGAUAUUUCAGCAUGGAAUAACACUAUAGGACUCCUGUCCUAUUUCGUUGGUCUCGGGACGGGAGUAAUGAUUAAGAGGAACAGUUGGGGGCAUUCGUAUUUCAUUGUCAGAGGUGAAAUUCUUGGAUUUAUGAAAGACGAACUUCUGCGAAAGCAUUUGCCAAGGAUGUUUUCAUUA
rnacentral:rRNA from 1 species